UUUUUCGACGUAUUGUCAAUGUUCAAUUCUCAAUAUCGUAUCCGGAGAGAAACUGAAUCGUUCCUCUUCGUCAUUCCGGUGGAUCCACGAAGUAAGGUUCGUCGAUGAGAACGCAGGAGAGAUCCGAAUGUCCCGGACCCAGGUCCGAAAGAUGGGAAGAGGCGUAAUGACUUCGUGUACUUUGAUUAAACGGUCGAUGUCGAGAAAUUUACCAACGAGUCUUCUAAUCGAAACCGUUAGGAAUAGGAACUGGGAAAUUGUCGAUCGAGAUAUCGCUGAACGAGCUAAAAUCGUAGACACUGUUAUAAAGUAUACGGAGAUCACUAAUGAUCACAUGACACCUGACUUAAAACUUUUUCUUUUAACGCCGAGAUGUUCUCUCUAUCACGAUCCAUUCGAUAGAGUAAAAAAGGAGUUCGACCGAGUGGAAAAACGAACUUUGACGAAUCCAUUUUGGUCUAUAUACUGGCCGGGUGGACAGGGCCUGGUUAAGUUCAUACUCCAAGAACAAAGAAAUAUAUUCGUACGUUCCAAGGACAUUAACGUUUUGGAUCUUGGAAGUGGUUGCGGUGCUACGGCUAUAGCAACGAAACUCCUUGGUAUUCAUAAUGUUGUGGCAAAUGACAUUGAUAAAGUUGCCUGUAUAGCCACGCUCAUGAAUGCUACAUUAAACGGCGUGGACGUUCGAGUAUCGUGGAAAAAUUUAUUGAACGAACCACUUAAAGAGACGUACGACGUUAUUUUUAUCGGGGAUCUACUUUACGAAGAAGAAUUAGUCGAAACUUUAAUUCCGUGGCUGUUGGAUGAAGCCAAAAAAGGAACACGAAUAUUUCUUGGCGAUCCUGGAAGGCACGGCCUUACAAAUAAUUUAAAAAAAUAUCUUAAACUUUUAUGCCGAUACGAAUUGCCGGAAAAGACGCGGAAGGAAAAUAAUGGUUAUCACGAAGUUUGCAUAUGGCAAUUCAUUAAGUAACUCCACACGGUCGUUGCUCCUCUUCGUGAUAAGGACAUUGUAAUAUGCAAUGUUCACCCCCGCAUUCUACAAAUAAAUCGUAUCAUUGAAGUUAGAUGUAUCUAUCCAUGGGGAACAUGUUUAAAGAAAAAUAUGAGUUUACCUGUAUUCAUAGUUUCCAGAAGUUGAAUUUCACAAUUUCGUCCAACGUAGCCAGAAAGACAAUCGCAGCGUACUGCUUUCGCUCCGAGAUGUCUAUAACUUGCCACCAUUUUGACAAAUAGAGUUUUGUUGCUCGUCAAAACAGAGCGGUCCUUCGUCACAUUUUUCUCCAUUAAAGCCAGAAAAGCAUUCGCAUGUAAAAGUUCUGUGAUGAAAGAAACAACGAUAAUGAAAUACACAUUUAAAAUAUUUCAGUUUA